UCGGUGACAAAUUUCAUUUAAUUCUGUAUUUUAUAUUUGAGAAUCUAGAAAACGUCGUGCGGGAAUGUUAAUCUGGCUGGUGAAGAGAACUUUGCGUAUCAGAUUUAAGUUAACAAAAAGAUUGUUUGAAUGCGGAACACUCUCUGGAGGUUAUGAGAGCCGAAGCGUCAUCUCCAACCUGUGCCAGCCGACGUGUGUUACAUCUCAACUAGUUUCAACUCGAAACUGCUAAUAUCAACCUGCGGUCAGAAGGACAUCUUUGCGCACCACUAUAACGUGAUGGAGCCACGUAGCCGAGUACGCGGCGGACUGCGGACUCGCUUCCCUUUUCUGAUCGGAUGCGGAGGCGCCGAGGUGCCCGCCGAGGAGAUCGUUGGCGAACGACAGUGCAUGUGACCGGGCCGCGGAGACGCGUCGCAGCGUGGUGAGUCGUGGGGGCGAAUAUUUCACUGUGG